AAACAAACUUUCUUUCCAACGUCCUUUCAAUGUCAUGAUAAUAACAGCCUUUGCAGGAUUUGUAGCUGUCGUGGUCCUUGUUGGAAUAAUCACGAGGAAAUGUCAUCUCAACGGGAGAACACAGCAGAAAGCGGUGUACACCUUUAAAGAGGAGGAGCAACAGGACAUUGAGCCCUACAGCACAUUCACAAGGAGAGACAAUGGGCUUUACUCAACCCUCCAGCUGACACACUCUAACCCCUGACCUCUGGCACCGUUGACCAAUGACGACAUGUCAUUAGACACCUUUUUCUAUCACUAGGGGUUAAAAAGUAUUUCA